AGGGUGCAAGCGUUAAUCGGAAUUACUGGGCGUAAAGCGCGCGUAGGUGGUUGUUUAAGUCAGAUGUGAAAUCCCCGGGCUUAACCUGGGAAUUGCAUUUGAGACUGGAUGGCUAGAGUGUGGUAGAGGUGAGUGGAAUUUCAGGUGUAGCGGUGAAAUGCGUAGAUAUCUGAAGGAACAUCAGUGGCGAAGGCGACUCACUGGGCCAUUACUGACACUGAGGUGCGAAAGCGUGGGGAGCAA
rnacentral:rRNA from 1 species